rnacentral:lncRNA from 1 species
AGGCUCCCCUUCAUCUAGAACAUAUAUGAAUUGGCAAAAAACGUAAAAUUAAAAGUAAAGAAAAAAAUAUUCGAAUGUAAUACAAAGUAUACUACAAAUUGACAAGAAAAAAAGCUUACCUGAGUCAGGGAAGAGAAAGUGAUGGAAGGUGUAAUGUGAAAGACAAGAUGCAAUAAAUAAAUAGAGUGUAGUUGAAUGAACGAA